CACAAGGGCCAGGUUCUUCCCGUCUCCAGAGAGCCCUGAAAUGCCUGCCUGAAGAGCUGGGAUCUGGGGGGAGGAGCAGGGGGCCCCUCCUUCCUGACACCCGGGCCCUGAUGUUCCAGAUGUUCGGGCCUGGGCUGGUCACCUAGAGUCCUCAACCUGGUGUCCUCGAAGAGUGGCCAGGCUUUGGAACCAGCAUCUCUACAGCCCUGAACUCCCAGCGAUCCUCCUGCCUCAGGCUCCGGAGUGCAGGGAUCACAGCCGUAUGCCGGACUUUUCACCUAAGAGGCCCUGAAUUAGUUCUCUGUUGCUGCUUAACAACAUCCCCAG
ensembl:lncRNA